CCUACGGGGGGCAGCAGUGGGGAAUCUUGCGCAAUGGGCGAAAGCCUGACGCAGCCAUGCCGCGUGAAUGAUGAAGGUCUUAGGAUUGUAAAAUUCUUUCACCGGGGACGAUAAUGACGGUACCCGGAGAAGAAGCCCCGGCUAACUUCGUGCCAGCAGCCGCGGUAAUACGAAGGGGGCUAGCGUUGCUCGGAAUUACUGGGCGUAAAGGGAGCGUAGGCGGACAUUUAAGUCAGGGGUGAAAUCCCGGGGCUCAACCUCGGAAUUGCCUUUGAUACUGGGUGUCUUGAGUAUGAGAGAGGUGUGUGGAACUCCGAGUGUAGAGGUGAAAUUCGUAGAUAUUCGGAAGAACACCAGUGGCGAAGGCGACACACUGGCUCAUUACUGACGCUGAGGCUCGAAAGCGUGGGGAGCAAACAGGAUUAGAUACCCCAGUAG
rnacentral:rRNA from 1 species